AAAUGAAUUGACGGGGACCCGCACAAGCAGCGGAGCAUGUGGUUUAAUUCGAAGCAACGCGAAAAACCUUACCAAGGCUUGACAUCGUAUGACCGCCAUAGAGAUAUGGAAUUCCCUUCGGGGACAUAUAGACAGGUGGUGCAUGGUUGUCGUCAGCUCGUGUCGUGAGAUGUUGGGUUAAGUCCCGCAACGAGCGCAACCCUUAUCAGUAGUUGCCAAUAUUAAGUUAGGAACUCUACUGAGACUGCCGUGGACAACACGGAGGAAGGUGGGGAUGACGUCAAAUCAUCAUGCCCCUUACGCCUUGGGCUACACACGUGCUACAAUGGCUAUUACAAAGAGCAGCGAGACGGUAACGUUAAGCGAAUCUCAGAAAGAUAGUCCCAGUUCGGAUUGUGGGCUGCAACCCGCCCACAUGAAGUCGGAGUUGCUAGUAAUCCCGAAUCAGCAUGUCGGGGUGAAUGCGUUCCCGGGUCUUGCACACACCGCCCGU
rnacentral:rRNA from 1 species